CAGGUGAGACAGUUGAGAAAAAGAGGAAAACUGGUUUUCCCUCUUUUCCGGUGUGUGUGUGUGUGUGUGCGUGUGAGAGAGAGAUUAGAGGGCGGGGAGGGGAGAAGAGAGGAAGCAAGCUAACCGGAGAGAGAGCAGCUUGAGCUGAGCUUUCACUCACCGUCCACCACUGCUGUUUGCUGCCAUCGCAGACUUGCCACUGACUUCCACCCCUCCAGAUCCAGCAGGGUGUCUGCUGCUCUCCUGAUCCAGCGAGGUCAUGGGUUUUGAAAUCUCACGUUAUUUGACAACACCUUCAAGAGAAGAAGAGUUAUGCCUGACUACUACUGGCAUUGUAGAUGGCAGAAUAUCUCAGGGGUCUCACUGUUGCCCGGGCUGGAGUGCUGUGGCGUGAUCAUGGCUUGUGGCUCACCAGUCUCAAUCUCCUCAGGCUCAGAGAUGAGGUCUUGAACUCCUGGGCUUAAGAAAUCCACCCACCUCAGCCUCCCAAAGUGAUCACAGGCAUGAGCCACCUCUCCUGGCCCUGGGAAUAAAUCUUAACUUUGUCACUACCUUGGUCUACUUCUGACUCUCUUAGAAUAUUAAUUUCUUUUAUGUCAACUAAAGGUAAUAUACCUAUCUAGUAUGUUCCUGGCACACAGCAGAUACCUCACUAUACUUCCCAUUUCCUUCAUUUUAGGAAAAUUCUAAGACUAAAAUUAAGAUUCUUGUUCAACACAGUACCCUCACAGGUGAAGACACUGAAAAAAUAGAGAAGUAAAUAACUGGCACAAAGCAUAUUCACCAAGGAGAUGUCUGCCUCGUGACUGGUAUUCAAUUCUCUUGAUGUGGAAAUUGUUGAUCCCCCCAACAAUCACUUCUUGCUGUCUUGUGAAGCUAAAGCUUAGUCAUAAGAAGAAUCUAUCUUCUUUUGUGGAAAUCUUAUUUCUUAUAAAUUAUUCAGUCUCUCAUUCAGCCUAAUGAAGUAGUUGAAUUUCACAGAAACCGAGUGAGAGGUGAGUGGUUGCUCCAGAACAGCAGAAAAGCUAGUGGCAGUGGCUUGGAACACACCUUUCCUCAACACGAAGCCAAGGGUCAAAUGAAAGAAAAAAUGUGAAUACAUUUAUAUGUCUGGCCAGUGAUUAAAAAAAUGUUGCUCUUUUUAAUAUCUCAUCAACAUCAAUGAUUACAUUCUUUUCUGGUGCAAAUGUAGUAAGUGGUUAAUUUGAAAGUAUAAAAAUGUGUAAGGAAGAAAAAUAACCAAGAGUGAUACCAUUUAAACGAUAUUACUUAGCGCUGGUAUAUUUCUUUCUAUUUUCUUUUCCAUUAAGAUAUUUACCAAGCACAUUUGAAUGUAUAAUUUUAUAUUUUGCCAUUUAUCCUUAACAUUAUAACAGAGGCACACAAGGCGUUUUGCAUCUUGUUUUUUUUCCAUUUAUUGUGAUAUCUUUGACAUCUUGUCACAUUGGCAUAUGUAGACUUACCUCAUUCUUUUUAAUAGCUGUAUGGUAUGAACAUAACACAGUUUUUUUAAUGAACACAAUGUUAUUUCAUAGUCUUCUUUACCAUUGAGAUAUUUACCAAGCAUAUUUAAAUAUUUAAUUUUAUAUUUUUCCAUUUAUCCUUGAC
rnacentral:lncRNA from 10 species